UACGUAGGGGGCGAGCGUUGUCCGGAAUGAUUGGGCGUAAAGCGUCCGCAGGUGGCGAUGUAAGUCUGCUGUUAAAGAGUCUAGCUCAACUAGAUAAGAGCAGUGGAAACUACAUAGCUAGAGUACGUUCGGGGCAGAGGGAAUUCCUGGUGUAGCGGUGAAAUGCGUAGAGAUCAGGAAGAACACCAGUGGCGAAGGCGCUCUGCUAGGCCGCAACUGACACUCAUGGACGAAAGCUAGGGGAGCGAAUGGG
rnacentral:rRNA from 1 species